GGAGGCCGUCGACACACGAGUUCAUUGUUCUACGCCUGUGGGUCCACAGGAGCGACCCAUCCAAGCGACUACCUCAUAUUCACCACCACACCAUCUUAGGAGCUUAUUCAGGCGCCCGUUGACACACAGGUUCAUCCUUCGGCGCCUGAGGUGGCGACUCUCGAUGAGGUAGAGGUUGAGACACCAGACCUAACUCAGCCUGAGGUUCUGAGCGUGCCAGCAGGACCAGAUUCCAAGAAGAAGCACGUUCUAGUCAAGGGAGCAUGGGUCAGGCGAAGAGAUGAUGAUCAUGACUUGGAGCGCCCGGUUAUUAAGAGAAAAAAGAGCGAUGGAGACGAUGACGAGGGCGGUGGGGAUGGUAUGAGCCUUAGGCCUAGGGAUAGUCUCCGGCAUACUACAUGUGGGACCCAUCCUCGAUAGUGUAUAUACAUUAGUGUUGUAAAAUUUAUCGUAAAUAAUAUA